rnacentral:rRNA from 1 species
CCGGUUUCGACCCUAACCGACGGAAGGGAGGGCGGGACGACCCAACGGUGAGAUUCAUGAUGGGGUG